CUGAACAGGUUCCCAAAGAUGGGUACAGUUGGAGGACCCGGUGGCAAUAUUCUUGGACUUGAAUCACUGUCUUUCUUUGUACUUGAUAGGACUAAAUGGAUUGCAAUCCAUGCUAAAAGGAGAUACAACACAAAACUCAGACAUGUACUGGAAUAGCAUGAAGUCGCUGAGCUUUCUGCAGGCUGAUUCCAAAUUUCUCUUCCAUAUCUAUCUUCUCUGGUGUAAUUCCGCCUUCCAGCUUCCAAUCAAAUCCAUGUAUCAGUGACCCCAACAUCAGAUGAAGCAUUCGAAUCGCCAAUGGCAGUCCAGGACAGAUUCGACGGCCAGCACCAAAUGGAAUCAGCUCAAAAUCAUGACCCUUUAAAUCAAUGUGUGAUCCCAUAAAUCUUUCUGGCUCAAACGAAUUCGGGUUCUUCCACACAUCUGGAUCCCUCCCAAUCGCCCAUACGUUGAUCAAGACUUGUGCUUUUUUCGGUACUGUAAAGCCCGAGAGCUUCACAUCUGAAUCAACUUUUCUGGGAAUCAAAAAGGGCACAGCUGGGUGUAGUCUGAAGGUCUCUUUGAUAACUGCUUGCAAGUAUGGGAGUCGGGAGAUAUCUGGUUCCUCUACCAGGUUUCCUUGUCCGAUGUUCUCAUAGAGCUCUGCUUUUACUUUCUUUAGCUUGUCAGGAUUGUGUAGUAACUCUGCCAUAGCCCAUUCAAGGGUACUCGAUGUUGUAUCGGUUCCACCAGCAAAUAGAUCCUGCAAAUACGAUCUGUUAAGAAAGUGCAAGUUUUUAGUUAAAGGGGUGAGAAAGGAAGAGCAGGAGACAAACCAGUAAUAGGUUUGGGAUAUUUAAUGAUUCGAUUUCCUUAGACUUCUCCUGAUUGAUGCCUAGCAAUGAAUCCAGAACAUCAUUGCCUUGUAUUGAGCCUGCUUGCUUCUUUCUCUGCAGUCGUUGCUCGAUCAUGGUUUUGAAUAAACUCAUUAUCUUCCCAAAAUGAACACUCGUACGACGCCUGAUGCCUUGUGGGUCUAUUCUUUGAAGUAUAGGGAAAUAAUCUGCAAUGUUGGGUUUCCCUAUUUCUUCUGUGAUAUCUCUUGAAGUCCUUUUGAAUUCACGAGCAAACUGAGAGCUGGGAUCACCCAAAUCCACUGAAAAAAAGGUACUUGAUAACAAAUUCAAGGAAGUGGUGAAGGCUACUUGACAGAUAUCCACUGCUACACCAGCUUGGCUACAUUUCUCUACAUACAACAGAAGGUCUUUCACCUUAUUUCUCCGAAGGCUUUGGCUGGCAUCGAGUCUACUGGAAGAGAAAACAUGUGAGUUGCAGAUUUUUCGUAGGGUUCUCCAUUGAGAUGAUCCUACUGGUAACCAGACUACUGAUUUCUCAUGAUGACCAAGUGCACGGACACCAUCAAGGAUCAUCCGGUUGGAGAAGGAAAUAUCAUUCUUUUGAAGUGCUUCUUUGGCCACGGCUCCUGAAGAAAUGAUCACUGUUGGCAAACAGCCGAGCUGCAGAGUCAUGAGAGGGCCAUAUUUUUUGGCAAGUUCAGUCAAGGAUAUAUGUGGCUUGGUGCCGAGGUUAAAGAGAUUCCCUAUGACGGGUAAAGAAGGAGGACCUGGUGGAAGAUUCUUUCGGGUUUUUUCACUGCCUUUGUUUGCAAUUGUGAGGAGAAGGUGGAUUGUAAUGCAUGCUAAUGCAAACCACAGCACAAAGUUCAGUAUUGCCAGAUAUCAACAUUGGAUAUUGAUGCUUGAUGGGAAUACACUGAUUGUUGGUAUUCAGCCUUGUCAUUAUCAGCAUACUUCACACGAGCUACCAAGACUGCAGACACACAAAGUCAUGCCUACAAACAGCAGUAGCAAUGCCAGUAGCAAUGCCAACAGCAGUAGCAAUGCAAGCAUGCAGUGUCCUGCGCAUCUUCUAGAAGGAAGUCUAACUGAUUCCCCUAGAAAUAAGGAAGGUUGUUAGGAGUGUCAGUUGUUGAUCUUUAUUGUAAUAAUUAGUUACCUUAGGCUAGCUGUGAUGAGGUGUACAAUCGAGUGUGUUUGAUUGGUCUGAACACCUCAUUCAGCUUUGUAUAUAUAGUGUACCUAUUGUAAACAAACUUAAUUACUCAUUCAAUGAAACAAAUUCUUUCUCUAAGCCUUUCUCCCUUGAUUUUCUUUCAGCAGAAUUUCACCCAAUAAUGGAGAAAUCUGACACUGAUUGUAUAUAUUUACUCCGUUUUUUAUAUUGCAAAUUCACAACAAUCUUUUGGUGGUUAAAAACUUUGUUAGAUUUGUUAAAUGUGUAUUUUUAAAAAAUUUACUUCUAUUUUUUUUUUUUUUUACUUGUAAGUUAUACUAGUAUGUGGUUAAAUAUAAUAAUGGUCAAAGUUUGCAUUAGACCUGGUGAUUACAGAUAUGUUACAAUUGGUCAGAGUAAGUAAAUGUAUUGUAGGUUUGUGUCC